AUUGAACGCUGGCGGCAUGCUUUACACAUGCAAGUCGAACGGCAGCGCGGGCUUCGGCCUGGCGGCGAGUGGCGAACGGGUGAGUAAAGCAUCGGAACGUGCCCCGUAGAGGGGGAUAGCGCGGCGGAAGACGGAUUAAUAUAGCAUACGACCUGGGGGUGAAAGAGGGGGACCGAAAGAAAUCGCGCUAUUGGAGUAGGCGAUGGCGGCGUAGGAUGUUGGUGGGGUAAAGGUUUAGCCAGGCGACGACCCGUAACUGGUCUGAGGGGACGAGCAGCCACACUGGGACUGAGACACGGCCCAGACUCCUACGGGAGGCAGCAGUAGGGAAUUGUGGACAAGGGGGGCAACCCUGAGCCAGCCAUGCCGCGGGCGGGAAGAAGGCCUUCGGGUUGUAAACCGCUUUUGUUCGGGAAGAAAGCCUCUGGGCUAAUACCCCGGGGGGGAUGACGGUACCGGAAGAAUAAGCACCGGCUAACUACGUG
rnacentral:rRNA from 1 species